GCCAGUGUGGUGCAGUGGUUGAACAUUGGACUAUGAUUUUGGAGAUCAGGGUUCGAUUCCCCACUCUGCA
rnacentral:tRNA from 1 species